rnacentral:rRNA from 1 species
UACAGAGGGUGCGAGCGUUAAUCGGAAUUACUGGGCGUAAAGCGCACGUAGGUGGCGACGUAAGUCGGGUGUGAAAGCCCCGGGCUCAACCUGGGAAUUGCAUUCGAGACUGCAUUGCUGGAGUACGGAAGAGGAAGGCGGAAUUCCCUGUGUAGCGGUGAAAUGCGUAGAUAUCGGGAGGAACAUCAGUGGCGAAGGCGGCCUUCUGGUCCAGUACUGACACUCAAGUGCGAAAGCGUGGGGAGCAAACAGG